rnacentral:tRNA from 1 species
UCCUCUGUAGUUCAGUCGGUAGAACGGCGGACUGUUAAUCCGUAUGUCACUGGUUCGAGUCCAGUCCCAGAAG